rnacentral:lncRNA from 1 species
ACAGAGUGUGAUAUUUGUGAAUCACGUUUCGUCGGUACUAGGACACGACCUAGAGCAUUGCAUUCCGAGUGCCAUGGCGGGACGUAUUGCUCCGUUUCUUCUGAUCUUCUUAGUGCUCACUUCUGCAAUCAUGGCUAUGGCAACUGCUGAAGAGGCGACAGCACGAGAAUGGUCAGGGACUACAAGUGCAGCCAAGUCGGAAGCUAGAAUUGAUCCCACCGUGCUCGGAACUUUAACUGGAGGAAACCGGCGCUAAUGGUCGCGCGAUUGC